rnacentral:rRNA from 1 species
CGAAAGCCUGACGGAGCAACGCCGCGUGAGGGAUGAAGGCCUCUGGGCUGUAAACCUCUUUUCUCAAGGAAGAAGAACUGACGGUACUUGAGGAAUAAGCCACGGCUAAUUCCGUGCCAGCAGCCGCGGUAAUACGGGAGUGGCAAGCGUUAUCCGGAAUUAUUGGGCGUAAAGCGUCCGCAGGCGGCCUCGUAAGUCUGUCGUUAAAGCGUGGAGCUUAACUCCAUUUCAGCGAUGGAAACUGUGAGGCUUGAGUGUGGUAGGGGCAGAGGGAAUUCCCGGUGUAGCGGUGAAAUGCGUAGAUAUCGGGAAGAACACCAGUGGCGAAGGCGCUCUGCUGGGCCAUAACUGACGCUCAUGGACGAAAGCCAGGGGAGCG